rnacentral:rRNA from 1 species
AGAGUUUGAUCCUGGCUCAGGACGAACGCUGACGGUGUGCUUUAGACAUGCAAGUCGAACGAGAAAGCCCUUCGGGGUGAGUAAAGUGGCGAACGGGUGAGUAACACGUGGGUAACCUGCUCUUCGCAGGGGGAUAACCGGGGGAAACCCCGGCUAAUAGCCCGUACGCUUGCAGGGUCGCAUGGCCCUGCAAGGAAAGGUAGCUUCGGCCAUCCGGCGAAGAAUGGGCCCGCGGUACAUUAGCUAGUUGGUGGGGUAACGGCCUACCAAGGCGACGAUGUAUAGCUGGUCUGAGAGGAUGAUCAGCCACACUGGGACUGAGACACGGCCCAGACUCCUACGGGAGGCAGCAGUCGGGAAUCUUGCGCAAUGGGCGAAAGCCUGACGCAGCAACACCGUGUGAGCGACGAAGGCCUUCGGGUCGUAAAGCUCUGUUGUUGGGGACGAAGGGCGAGGGGUUAAUAGCCCCGAGCCUGACGGUACCCUUCGAGGAAGCCCCGGCUAACUACGUGCCAGCAGCCGCGGUAAUGCGUAGGGGGCGAGCGUUGUCCGGAAUCAUUGGGCGUAAAGAGCGUGUAGGCGGCUCGGUAAGUCCGCCGUGAAAACCCGGGGCUCAACCCCGGGCGUGCGGUGGAUACUGUCGAGCUAGAGGAUGGUAGAGGGGAGUGGAAUUCCCGGUGUAGCGGUGAAAUGCGCAGAUAUCGAGAGGAACACCAGUAGCGAAGGCGGCUCCCUGGGCCAUUCCUGACGCUGAGACGCGAAAGCGUGGGGAGCGAACAGGAUUAGAUACCCUGGUAGUCCACGCCGUAAACGAUGAACACUAGGUGUGGGGGGAGUCGAAUCCCUCUGUGCCGCAGCCAACGCGAUAAGUGUUCCGCCUGGGGAGUACGGCCGCAAGGCUAAACUCAAAGGAUUGACGGGG